GGUCGUAACAAGGUUUCCGUAGGUGAACCUGCGGAAGGAUCAUUAUUGAAUUAACUUGGUUGGGUUGUUGCUGGCUUUUAGGAGCAUGUGCACAUCCACUCCAUUUUCAACCACCUGUGCACACAUUGUAGGCUUGAAACUCUCGAGGACACUCGGUUUGAGAAUUGCUCUUAAAUGCAGCUUUUCUUGCAUUUCAAGUCUAUGUUUUUAUAUACUCCAUAUGAAUGUAAUAGAAUGUUUAUUAAGGGCCUUUUGUGCCUGUAAAACAAAUACAACUUUCAACAACGGAUCUCUUGGCUCUCGCAUCGAUGAAGAACGCAGCGAAAUGCGAUAAGUAAUGUGAAUUGCAGAAUUCAGUGAAUCAUCGAAUCUUUGAACGCACCUUGCGCUCCUUGGUAUUCCGAGGAGCAUGCCUGUUUGAGUGUCAUGAAAUUCUCAACCUCUCUAGCUUUAUCUAGCUGGUUAGGCUUGGAUUGUGGAAGUUGCUGGUUUUAUCAGAAAUCAGCUCUUCUUAAAUGCAUUAGCAAAACCUUUGCUGACUAUCUUUAGUAUGAUAAUUAUCUAUACUAUUGAAAAGUAGCUCCUAUGGGGAUGGUUUUGCUUCUAACAGUCCAUCUGGACAACCUUGACAAUUUGACCUCAAAUCAGGUAGGACUACCCGCUGAACUUAGC
rnacentral:rRNA from 1 species